GUUCCGGCAGUUUCCGUUCGUCAGGCAUGUCCUCCACAACCCGACAACAACGCAAAGUUGCCACAUAUAUCCCCAUCCACGUGUGCCGCGCAAGGCGCUUUUCCAUCCACGUCUUGCUCCUUCAACCAUGGGACUUGUUGCAAUUAUUCAGUGCAUGGAAGUUGAAAAGUCCCUCCUCCUCCAAGGCAAGGGGCGUGAGUUGGACAAUAACCCAAAACUCACCUCCAGGCUGUGUAAGGGAUAUUUGACCAAUAAUGAUGUGAUGGAGUGCUGCAUCAGAUGACCUGGCCUCCACAAUCACUCAACCUCAACCAAUUUGAGAUGUUUUGGGAUGAGUUGGACCGCAGUGAAGGAAAAGCAGCCAACAAGUGCUCAGCAUAUGUGUGGGAACUCCUUCAAGACUGAUGGAAAACCAUUCCGCAUGAAGCUGGUUGAGAGAAUGCCAAAAGUAUGCAAAGUUGUCAUCAAGACAAAGGGAGGCUUCUUUGAAAAAUAUCAAAUAUAUUUGGACUUGUUUAACACUUUUCUGGUUACUACAUGAUUCAAUAGGUGUUAUUUCAUAGUUUUGAUGUCUUCACUAUUAUUCUA